UUACUUUGUAUCUUAUUAGUUCUGACCCUUACCUCUCUCCAUCUGAUAUUUCUGUUUGUCUCCUUUGGAUUUAAAAGCACUAGUAUAUAUUUGUACCUAAUGCAUUCUUUUGUUCCAGUUGGUCAAACUGAAUUUGAAUCUAAACUAUCUAUUUGAAUGAGAUCAUGUCUAUUUAAGUAUAUUGUUACUAUAACGCAGUAGAUCAAUGUAAAAGAUUAUUAGUGUUCUGUAACAUAUUUGACAUAUAUUAUUAUCUAAAAUAUUCACUUUACCCUUAGUAUUAUGUAGCUUAUGAUUAAGAGUGUGAAGCCAAACUGCCUGGCCUUUGGAUCCAUGUUGGUCUCCUAUUAUUUGUAUGUCUUGUGCUUCCAUUUUCUCCUAUGUACAGUGGGAAUUGAGGAUUGCCUUCAUUAAUAGAAGUGCUUAGAACAUAGUUAAGUUAUAAUUGUACAUAAGUUUAUCUUGGACUUUGUAGUAGGCUUUUUAAAACUUAAAAAAAAAAUUGUAAAUGAAGCUCCUUAUUAACAUGUUCUUGGCAAUUUCCAAAUUUCUUAAUUACAUAAUUAUUCUCAUGGUGGUCAUAGUCUUUAAGAUAUUAUUUUGAUUUAAAUUAAAUUGCUUUUUAAUUAAACUGUAAUAUAGCUUAUCAAAAGCAGUUCUAUUAAUGUUUUCCAUCUUUGCAGCCUACCAUAUUUCAUGUCUGACACCUUGAAAAUUAUUCAUUUGAGGUCUGUAAUGUGAGUUUAAUAACAGGAAAUCUAAUUAAAUUGUUAAAUCUCUGGUUAAUGUCUAAGUGGUCACCAGGACUGCAUGACUACAGUUGUCAUGUGAAUUGCAGGUGUGAACUAGCUGCUGCUGUUGAAAUCAGGUGCUUUCCCACUUUGAUUUCUACCUCCCUGGGAAAGAAAACUGAGGAACAUUAUCAAAGUCAGUAAACAGUGUUAACUUAAAAAAGUUUAAUGGAGAGUAUCUUAUAAUACUGUAGACUAAUAGUGGGUCAGGAAUUUUAACCUACAAGGUAGUAGGAAUUCUAUCUGUCUUAGUCACUGCUUUGUCCUCAGCACCUAGCACAAAACCUAUAUAAUGGACAUGUGAUAUGUGGUAAAAUUAAUUGACUUUCUAAAAUACAUCUUUCUACUCAUCUGAGAGAGUUCUCACUGAUUAUUACACCCUUGAAUUCACUGUAGUACUUGUGAUCUGUCUCAUUUAUUGAACAUUCAGCAUUAUAUAUCAUGUAAAGAUAUUUUAUAUAUAUAAAGUCCUGUUUCUCUAGUUACUGAGGCAACAAAUCAUUGAAACGGUACAGAAUCCCAAAUUACCCACAUCUUACCCAUUCUGAUUUGCCUCUCUUGGGUGGGUGGAUAAUGGUGGGGGCAUACAAAUGGAUCCCCUCUCCUCCCACACCUAACAUCAUUCCAUUGUGAACUAAUGCUGGUGAAGGUUGGGUGAACCAAUGUUCUGGUUAGUAACAACAUUAAGAAGAAAUGGUUUAGGAGCACUAAUAUGUAAAGACUAUUGAAUUAAGAGGCUGGUAAUUAGGAUUCUCAUUCCAUAACUGUCAGCUUCACAGGAGAUCUUGAGCAAGUCAUGUUUCACUAUACUUUUGAUAAACAUGUAUCUUCAUCUUUGAAAUGAGAAGUUGGAUGGGUAAUGCACAAAGCCUGUAGACAUAAGGUUAUGUCUCUUUACUUUUUAGCCCAGUACCUUAUUCAUUAUAUGCUCUAGGGGGAAAAUGUGUUUUUGUUGAUAUGAAUAAACAAAAAAAACCUGGCAAAGUGUAUCCUAUUAAAUGUUUGCCUUUUGGGCAUAUCUAGAAAUAGGAGGUUAGUUUAUAUACUCAGGGACUAUUCCAAAAAUGAACAACCUAUACCCUUCAUCCCAUUCUUAGUUUUGUUUCCCUUACUUUUAAAUGGUUUUAAGAAAAGUCAUGACCAUCAAUGUCUUUGACGUAAAAGAUUGUAUUGUAGAGAAUGAGUACAGUGAGGAACAAGAUUUCCAGAUUCAUUUGCUUCCUAGAAACCAUUUUUAAUGCCUUCUAAUUGUAUUUCAGACUCAGGUAAUGAGUAUCAUCAUCACAAAAGCUAGUAAGGCAUGCGUUUGUCACUAUGCUUAGUGCUUUUCAUCCUUCUCAUUUAAUCCUCACACAACUCUAUGAAGCAUAAACAGUUAUUAUCCUCAUUUUGUAGAUCAAGGAAACUGAGGUUUUAGAGACAUUAAGUAACGUUAGCUAACUAGGUCAUAAUACCUAUAAGUGAAUGAGCAAGUUUUAUUUGAACACAGUCGUAGUCAUUCAUUUAUGUAUUGUCUUUAACUGCUCUUCAGCUGCAAUAGUAAAGUUAAAGAGUUGUAAUAGAGACCAUAUGGCCCCCAAAGUCUAGAAAUAUUUUGUUUUUGGCCAUUUGCAGAAAAUAGUUAUUGACCCAUGGUCCAAACCAUUACACACACACACUGUCUGAAUACCAACACCCUUUCCUCUGUGACGUUUUCUAAAUCCAAAAUAUUCUUUAUUCAGACAUCGUGUAGGGCCUGUGCUUAAGAAAUAUGCUUCUCAACUGAUAAUUUAAAGUUCACAAUGUAAGCACUAACAUCACUGGAGCACUGACCUAGCUUUCUUUUACUGUGUCCCAAUUCUUCUUUCUGCCCUUAUCGCCAGGCUUGCUAGAUCCUUUCUCUCAUCUAUAACCUGACUCAUGCUGUUCCCUUUCUCAUACUUACUGCUGUCAAGAACUGGGAUCUAGCCUUCAAAAUAUAGUUUAAACAUUAACUCUUUCUCGGUCCCUUUUCUUAUUUUCCUUUCCCACCUCCAUCUCCCACCCCCUACUGGAUACACUUUCUCUCUUCCUUUUAACUCCCACAAUGAUUUAUUCCUUUCUUACAGCUUUUAUAGUACUGUUUUGUAUUUUUUGUGUUGCAUUCCAUCACACGCUAUUGUUGCUGGCACUGGUGGCUGGUCUGGGGAUCAGUAGUUAAAUAAGGCCUGUCCUUGUACUCAGACUGUUAAUAUUUUAUCAAACUUAAUAUUUUAUCCUGGAUUAUAAGCACCUACAUGGGAAAAAACAUCCAGUUCCACUCAUCUUUUAAUGUGCUCAAUAAACAUUGGUGAGUUUGAACUAUACAUUUGGAUGUCUUAUAAAUUGUUCUCCAAAUCAUGUUUUAACUUUUCUGUAAAUCACUUUUAUUUGGCUACUUGUUAUGCCUUUUAUUAUAAUUAAUUCCCUGUAACUAGAAAUCUGGAGAAAGGAAAUUGUAGUAGAAUGAUUAACAAUCUCAUAUUCUGAUGUGUUGGUAAAAUACAACCAAUGUUUUUCUAAUUUGGAGCUUAUCCUGAGUUUAUUAAUGGAUAAACUUAAGUAUAUCCCAGUGUACUUAAGAUGAUGAUUUCAUAACGUUAGAGCUGUUUUCCAAAGUGUAUGUUAUUUGUUCUAAACUCUUUUUUAAGGAUAUAGAGGCCUAGAAGUUAAUAAAACAAGACCAAGAUCAAUCACAUAGCUCUUAACUGAUAGAGCCCGAGUUCCUAAAUUUCAAGUGCAGUAUUUUUUAUACUAUGCUGCUAGUAGAUCUUAAUCAUUAGGUCAGCACUGUCCAAUAUGGUAGCCACAUGUGUCUGUAUAGCACUUGAAAUGUGUCUUGUGCAAAUUAAAAUGUGCUGUAAGUGUAAAAUAUUCCCUGUAUUUCAAAGACUUGGUGUUAAUAUCUAAGUUUUUAUAUUGAUUAUGUAUUGGGGUAGGAAAAGAGGAUUGAAAUAAAUUCUACCUCUUUCUUUCUUUCUUUUUUUUUUUUUUUUUCUACUAUUUCUUUAGUCAUUUGUUAAAGUGGCUACUAGAAAGCUUAAAGUUAUACUGGGGCACCUGGCUGGCUCAGUCAGAAGAACAUGCAGCUGUUGAUCUCGGGCUCAUGAGUUCAAGCCCUGCAUUGGGUGUAAAGAUUACUUAAAUAAACAAACUGAAAAUUUUAGAAUAUAUGUGAUUCAACCAGAUAACCUGUUUAUAUGCUUGCAUCACUAUCCUAUUGGAGUGACUAUAAACAUGAGCUAGUAAAAAAGGAAGAAUAAUCCAAAACUCACAUCAGCUCCAAUGUUUUGUCAAUGUUGGCUUCUUAAAGGAGUGUGAAUAUUGCUUAGGUGAUUAGAUUCAGGAAAAUCUGGAAUGAUAAAAUAGUGUUCAUUAGCUACUACAGAAAAUCCAUGUUUAGUCCCCAGAAAAUAUAGAACUUCAUUCAUAUGCUCAGAAGUUUUUGUUUCAUAGCCAGAUUCAGAAGGUGCUUUCAAUGAGAAAAUUCAUCUGUGGAAAAUAAAAAGAGGAUGAUACAGGAAGUGAUAUACCAACCAUAUGCAUCCAUUUACAUUUCUGCCAUAUGGACUGGGCUUGAGCCCUCUUGGUUAAGGGUCAAAAGUUAUAAGAACUACUGAAGUUCUGUCUUUCAGAUCAGAGGCACAAUAUACCUACCAGGAUUCAAAGUGUGACAGACUUGUUGAACAGGUACUUUUCUCUCUCUCUCCAUGGAACCCGGUUUAGGCACCAAGAAGGAAGGAAGCUCUGAAAACAUGGACAGCAAAAAUCAAUGAUGAUUUAAAGAAAAAGAAAAAGAAUGAUGAGACUUCCCUGAAUGGCCUUUCAGGCGUAAGAUUUGGAAAAGUAGGAUCUAGAGCAGGAGAGAAAUAAUCUGUUCUGAGGUAGAAAAGAGUGCAUCAAGGAACUAGAAGAAUCAGCUAGGGCAGAGUGAGGACAUGAAUUCCAGGAAAUGAGACGUAGGGGGUAGACAAGAGUCAUUAUGCAGAGCCUUGUAGCUUGAGGUAAGCAUGGGUGUAGUGGACAAUCAGGCAGGAUUAUCUACAGAAGUCUUAUAUGGGAGGCUUAUAGAUAGAUAUACGCAGGAAAUGUAUAUUAUUUUCUUUUGUAUCUCUUAUAUAUAAAUACAAAAAGGAAAUGUUCAUUCAACUUGGUCAAUUAAAUACUUUGCUAUUCUGAAAGCUAUCAUAAUAGUUGAGAACUUGUUAAUUAAACUCCAUUAUAUUUGCCUUAUUUUAGAUACUUCCUAAUGUACCUAUAGGACAUUCAGAAUUAUUAAUGUAGGUAUAAUUUCACUAACCUUGAAAAAUCAAAUAUAAUGUCAUUAUAACCUGUAUCAAAUUUUAUCACUCCUUACAAUCAUUAAAGUUCUGGUGUUCAAAAAAAAUUAUAUGUGAUUUACAUUGUUUCUAUUGGACAGCACUAAUCUAUAGUAUUUAGCAGUAUACAGAAUAUACAUUGUUAUAUGAUGUGAAAAUAUUGGGGUUCGGGAACGAAUAAUCAAAGAUUCUUGAUGUCUUUGGUGCAAAAAGGUGGUUUUAUUAAAGCAGGGAAAUAGGACCCAUGGGCAGAAAUAGCUGCACUUUCAAGUUGGGAGGGGGCUCAGGAUAGCAUAAGCCUCUGAGGAAUUUGGAAACAAGAUUUCUAAGACCUUGAGGGGCUGCUGUUAGGAAAAGGUCAUUUACUAUUGUCUAGUAAAAACUUAAGCCUUGAGAGCCUUCAGACGUGUAUCAGUAGGCCUUAUGCUUGGAGGAUGAUUGCUAACAUAUAUCUUGGGGUUAUAGAGAUAAAGGAAGUUUCCAAAGAGAUUUUUACAGUAUCCUGGAGGUCGGGGUAAUGUCAAGCUAAGGCCUUUUGUUUCUAGCAAAGUAUUAACAUUAAGGCAGUUGAGUUCCUGGAGGAAGGUCACCCUGCCUGUCCCAAGUACUUGUCAGUAGGUUGUAAGUUUUAAGGAAUUUUAAUUUUUUUUCUUUUGCCUUGUUCUCCACAUCAGUAUACAGACUCUAAAUAUUUUACUUAUAUUCUAUAGUUAAUAUAAGAAGUAAGAAAACCUUAUCCAACUUUGAGGAUUUCACAUUUUAUAUUGAAGAAAUAUAGUUCUAUUCUAUACUCUUACCCAGUAUGAAGGAUAAGUGGAAAUCUUAUGUUACACAUAAUAUAAUGAUGAAAUAAAGUAGCUAAGAGAGACCAAGAGUAUACCACAAAAUCCCAUUAAUCGCCUAUUUUCAGUUUCUUAACCAAAUAAGGUAUUGUGCAGGUUCAUCUUUUUAUAUAAGAAUAUAUUUCUGAGACUAAAAGAAGCUCUCUUCUUCCUGCUUUUAAUAACUUCUAUAACUACCACCCCCCGACCCCCGCUUCUGUUUUGCUUAGGUGUCUCUUCUUACCAUACCUCACUUCUUCAAAGUUCUGUGGAAUUAGGGAGUGGGAAAGGAGAAGAGACCGAAUACUAUUCUCCCUGUGGCUUCCCCUCUUCUCCUUACCUUCCCCUUUGCCAAAUCUUACUUCUCAACCUCCCCCAACAUACACACUAAGUAAAGGAAAUAUAAAUACCCUGGGUGUCUUGGGUUUAACCCCAGGGCCUCAUCCUGAAGGUCUCCUCUUUGAGCUCAGCAAAUACUCCAGAGGAACUCUUCAAAGAUAACCUUUCUUUGUAAAAAGAGAAAAGAGUAUCUGGGGUUUCCUCUGAAAUGUAGAUGAACCUCACUUUAGUUCUUUGUGUACUGAAAAGACCCACCUUUCUCACCCAUUGUGGCUUUUGUCUUUUCCUGGUGUUUCCUGAGGUGGUUGAAGGCGGGGAGGAGAAGGAAGCUGCAUCACAGAGAGAGGAGGAGUAAGAUAGUUGUGGAAAAAUGGUCGAAGACUAGGAUCUACUACCAUUUACAUGCUAAUGAAAACCAGAAAUGGCCUUUUCCCUGUUUGAUCUGAUUUGAAACUUUGUGACUUUCCUCUGGUAGGUCAUUUUACCCCCUGUGUUUUUCUCAUUGUUGUUAGCUAUAAAAACUCUUUGAAAUUCUCAAAAUAGUGGAGGGUUUCUUUCAGGAGCAGGAGGAUAGAGGAUAAACUGUGAAACUGCAUUCUGUCUACAGUGGGUCUGUUGGAGAGGAAAAGCUGCCUCCAAAGUAAUAGAAGGUAAAACAGGGGAGGAAGUAGACAGGUCGAGCCCUUGAUUCAGGAAAAUAAGGAGGUAGGAUUUAGAAUUAUCCCAGAAGUAGACCCCAUCAGCAAAGUCUGGACUUCCACCUAACUUAAACCUUCGAAUGAGGGUCUCAACCUCACAUCCACACAUCUGUUAAAAGAUGCCUUUGUUUUGAAAGCUAGGAAUCAUGACUCCUACAGAUACAAAAGUUCUUGUUAAGGGAUUCAUUUUAUCAUGUGAUAUAAAGGAAGUAGGUAGAUGUUAUAACCAGUUCAAAAAGUCAAAACAGCACAAAGUAUGUAGAAAAAAGGAAUGCAAAUAGAGACAGAUGGAGGUUUUGUGGGGGAGGGGAGUUAAUUAAAUCACCACCAGUAGGACACAGGACAUAAUUUGCAUAUCUAUCAUACAAUUUAAAAAGAAAUAAAAUAGCCGAAAGACAAGGAAUUAAGCUGGAAUCUGUUAACCUGGAAGGGGUAGGGAGGGCAUGCUAUAGAUAAUGCCAUUUUCUACUGAAACAAUUUGUUUCCACUCUUCCCCUUUUACGAUUAAAAAAAGUAUAAAGAAAGAUUAUGAUCACAAAAUAUUGGGCUAAUAAAUGACCUGAUUAUUUAUUUAUGUGUAGCAAGAAUGCCUAAUUUGCCACAGUAGGAGAGGAAAAAUAAUUUUCCCUCUAACUUUCUAGGUUCUUGGUUGAGACUCCGCCCCCCCCCCAUAAUGAAAAGAUUAACAAAUAAGUUUAAUAACAUUUAUACCUCCUAUAUACCCAGGAACACUGAGUAAUUCCAAAAUGGCCAUUGCCACCACCUUAAGUAUUAUCUCCAGCUAAAGACAAAAGAUUGGGGGGGGGGGCGGUGCUAGGGAGAGUGAGUUUGGAGGUUAUCAGGCAAAGCACCAUAAACAAGGGUUUAAUUGUUACGCAGAUUUAAUUUCAAGACUUCUCCAUUGGUGAGUUUCCCAAGUUUUAGUCCUCCUCCUCUUCCUAGUACUGAGUGGGAGGCACCUUUACAAAUGGAGAUUUCCCUUAUAAAUGUAAAUGUACCUCACAAAAGGCCAAUUUCUUCAUUUUCAGAGAUUUUACUGCUUCUGAAAAAUAACAAGCUCAAAAUAAUCCUUAUGCCAAAAAGGCAUUUUUGGGGGCAGCAGUUCUGCUCUUUACCAUGUAAGCUUUUGUAAGUUUGCUUUGCUGUGAAAUUUUUCACAAGGAAUCUCAGAUUAGACUUUUCACAGCCAAUAACUAGCAACCAGAUUUCUUCUGUGUGAUGCCUAUUAAUUUAGGCAAAUUCUUUCUCCCUUCUCAAGGUCCCCCAAUAUCCUAGGGUCCUCAGAAUAAGGUUCUUUACUAACUUGGGGAACUUUGUAAGCCUGGUGCCAGGCCACUUUUCCUGGAAGGAGUUUGUAAGCAUUGGCCUCAUAAAGUCAACUUUAGUUCUUUUAAAGUGUCUGGUCAUAUCUGAUUAAAUGAGCAUCCUUGUCAAAUAUGUCGAUCGAGGUAAAACCUUCAUUGCAUAACCCUUGUUUACACUAAUGUUCUAAUAAAAAGGACAUAUUGAACAUGUACAAAUAACUGUAUUACCAUGAAUAUAAGAAUAUUUAAUAAGAGUUCCCAAAUUCUGUAGGGGUCAUUCAGGGAGACUCCUGUCACUUAAGAAUGAUAUAAAUUUUAGUUUACAAAACAGAGUCUACUAAAUUGUAGAUACCUCAGAAGAAAGGGAAAGGACUUCCUUAAAUGUCCAGAAAAUAGAACAUUUUAGGCCCUAUCAAUGCAUUCAGUCCUAUAUAGUUAAUUUUUGUUUCACUGGAUCAUUAAUUUAUCUGGUGCUCAACUAGAGUUCUGGAAAUGUUGACUUAGUCCACUGGUCUGGUCUUAUAAUUAUUUAUGCCAUCAGAAGCCUAAAGCCAGGAGUAACAGUCCUUCACAGAGCUCUGACUGAGGCAGUCUCUCUUUGUUGAAGACAAAGCACUCAGGCCUGUAACUGAUUUCAGGAGCUUUCAGGGAAGCAUCAGAGUAAAACAAAACAAUCUAUCCAUAAAUGAUAAAAGACUUAAGAUGGCCGUAGUUAACAUUACUGGUAAAUUUCAGAAGUGAAAUAUUUGUAACAAGGAUAAUGCAACUUAAAGUCAUACCAAAAAUGUUGUAGACAAAAUAUCUGUAAACAAUAUUAAAGACUCUUUUCAAAGAAGA